rnacentral:rRNA from 1 species
UACGUGGGGUGCGAGCGUUAAUCGGAAUUACUGGGCGUAAAGCGUGCGCAGGCGGUUUCGUAAGACAGGUGUGAAAGCCCCGGGCUUAACCUGGGAAUUGCGCUUGUGACUGCGAGGCUGGAGUGCGGCAGAGGGAGGUGGAAUUCCACGUGUAGCAGUGAAAUGCGUAGAGAUGUGGAGGAACACCGAUGGCGAAGGCAGCCUCCUGGGCUAGCACUGACGCUCAUGCACGAAAGCGUGGGGAGCAAACAGG